rnacentral:lncRNA from 1 species
CCAUAGUCAAGAAUUUCUUUACCACUUGCAGAGAUUUCGAGCAGAAUAUGUAUAGAGAUAGAGAGAGUGCGAGGAAGGAGAUAUGCUCUUCGUCAGAGACUUCUUCAGUAUCUUUGUUGUGGUGAUCUGAGAUGUAAUGGGUAAAACUAGCUCGAUUUCCAUCAAAGCCAAUGGCAUCCUCGAUCAUGUAGUUGGGGUCGAAAGUAUCUUCAGUUGGUCGAAGACUAGUGAUAAC